rnacentral:rRNA from 1 species
UACGGAGGAUGCAAGCGUUAUCCGGAUUUAUUGGGUUUAAAGGGUGCGCAGGCGGACCCGUAAGUCAUGGGUGAAAACUCGCUGCUUAACAGCGAGCGUGCCUAUGAUACUGCGGGACUAGUGUGCAAGCGGCGUGACCGGAAUGUGGCGUGUAGCGGUGAAAUGCUUAGAUAUGCCACAGAACGCCGAUCGUGAAGACAGGUCACGAGCUUGCUACAGACGCUCAUGCACGAAAGCGUGGGUAUCAAAC